rnacentral:rRNA from 1 species
CCUACGGGGUGCAGCAGUGGGGAAUAUUGCACAAUGGGGGAAACCCUGAUGCAGUGACGCCGCGUGAGUGAAGAAGUAUUUCGGUAUGUAAAGCUCUAUCAGCAGGGAAGAAAAAAGACGGUACCUGACUAAAAAGCCCCGGCUAACUACGUUCCAGCAGCCGCGGUAAUACGUAGGGGGCAAGCGUUAUCCGGAAUUAAUGGGUGUAAAGUGUGCGUAGGUGGCAUGGUAAGUCAGAAGUGAAAGUCCGGGGCUUAACCCCGGGACUGCUUUUGAAACUGUCAUGCUGGAGUGCAGGAGAGGUAAGCGGAAUUCCUAGUGUAGCGGUGAAAUGCGUAGAUAUUAGGAGGAACACCAGUGGCGAAGGCGGCUUACUGGACUGUCACUGACACUGAUGCACGAAAGCGUGGGGAGCAAACAGGAUUAGAUACCCGUGUAGUC